GAUGAACGCUAGCGGCAGGCUUAAUACAUGCAAGUCGAGGGGCAGCAUGGUGUAGCAAUACACUGAUGGCGACCGGCAAACGGGUGCGGAACACGUACAGAACCUUCCUUCGAGCGGGGAAUAGCCCAGAGAAAUUUGGAUUAAUACCCCAUAGUAUAUUGAAAAGGCAUCUUUUUAAUAUUAAAGAUUUAUCACUUGAAGAUUGCUGUGGGGCUGAUUAGGUAGUUGGCGGGGUAACGGCCCACCAAGCCUGCGAUCAGUAACUGGGGUGAGAGCACGACCAGUCACACGGGCACUGAGACACGGGCCCGACUCCAGCGGGAGGCAGCAGUAAGGAAUAUUGGUCAAUGGACGAAAGUCUGAACCAGCCAUGCCGCGUGGAGGAUGAAGGUCCUCUGGAUUGUAAACUUCUUUUAUAUGGGACGAAAAAAGGCUUUUCUAAGUUGUCUGACGGUACCAUAUGAAUAAGCACCAGCUAACUCCGUGCCAGCCGCCGCAGUAAUAC
rnacentral:rRNA from 1 species